UACGAAGGGGCUAGCGUUGCUCGGAAUCACUGGGCGUAAAGCGCACGUAGGCGGAUUGCUAAGUCAGGGUGAAAUCCUGGAGCUCAACUCCAGAACUGCCCUUGAUACUGGCGGUCUCGAGUCCGGGAGAGGUGAGUGGAACUGCGAGUGUAGAGGUGAAAUUCGUAGAUAUCGCAAGAACACCAGUGGCGAAGGCGGCUCACUGGCCCGGUACUGACGCUGAGGCACGAAAGCGUGGGGAGCAAACAGG
rnacentral:rRNA from 1 species